UGCAGUCGAGCGGUAACAGAUCCAGCUUGCUGGAUGCUGACGAGCGGCGGACGGGUGAGUAAUGCAUAGGAAUCUGCCCGAUAGUGGGGGAUAACCUGGGGAAACCCAGGCUAAUACCGCAUACGUCCUACGGGAGAAAGGGGGCUCCGGCUCCCGCUAUGGGAUGAGCCUAUGUCGGAUUAGCUAGUUGGUGAGGUAACGGCUCACCAAGGCCACGAUCCGUAGCUGGUCUGAGAGGAUGAUCAGCCACAUCGGGACUGAGACACGGCCCGAACUCCUACGGGAGGCAGCAGUGGGGAAUAUUGGACAAUGGGGGAAACCCUGAUCCAGCCAUGCCGCGUGUGUGAAGAAGGCCCUCGGGUUGUAAAGCACUUUCAGCGAGGAAGAACGCCUAGCGGUUAAUACCCGCUAGGAAAGACAUCACUCGCAGAAGAAGCACCGGCUAACUCCGUGCCAGCAGCCGCGGUAAUACGGAGGGUGCAAGCGUUAAUCGGAAUUACUGGGCGUAAAGCGCGCGUAGGUGGCUUGAUAAGCCGGUUGUGAAAGCCCCGGGCUCAACCUGGGAACGGCAUCCGGAACUGUCAAGCUAGAGUGCAGGAGAGGAAGGUAGAAUUCCCGGUGUAGCGGUGAAAUGCGUAGAGAUCGGGAGGAAUACCAGUGGCGAAGGCGGCCUUCUGGACUGACACUGACACUGAGGUGCGAAAGCGUGGGUAGCAAACAGGAUUAGAUACCCUGGUAGUCCACGCCGUAAACGAUGUCGACCAGCCGUUGGGUGCCUAGCGCACUUUGUGGCGAAGUUAACGCGAUAAGUCGACCGCCUGGGGAGUACGGCCGCAAGGUUAAAACUCAAAUGAAUUGACGGGGGCCCGCACAAGCGGUGGAGCAUGUGGUUUAAUUCGAUGCAACGCGAAGAACCUUACCUACUCUUGACAUCCUGCGAAUUGGGUAGAGAUACCUUAGUGCCUUCGGAACGCAGAGACAGGUGCUGCAUGGUUGUCGU
rnacentral:rRNA from 1 species